UGCGGGGUCGGCUAAUGGUAGGCCAGCAGACUUUGGAUCUGUUUAUCUUGGUCCGAAUCCAAGCCCCGCAGCCA
rnacentral:tRNA from 2 species